UAAAAGAAAAUAAGCUUUGCACACACUCUCGAUUCUUUAUUUGCAGGCAAACUUCACUCUUUAUUAUCUGAAACUUUUCCAUUCUCAGCCUCUUAGAGGCACAGAUGGCUCAAGUUUCAGUGGCAAAAAAGUCUUUUUUUUUUUUUUUUUUCUGUAACCAAACUAGAGCAAAUUUGGAAUUCAGUCUGGGACUAAAACGUCACAGCAGAAAAAAAAUAAAAAAAAAAAUAAUUUGCUUUUUCUUUCUUUCAUUUAGCAGCAUAAAUAAGUUUGGCCACUGGGAGUACAGUACAGGGGUGGGACAACGAUCCCGUAUUUGAAGACCUACUUCUAGCACCAGCAUCAAGAACUAAAUCCACCUCAGGACUCACAGAACCCAGGACAACUUGCCAUCUUUGAGCAACAUAUGCAUUGAAGAGUGUAUAUAGAAGCAACAGUAAAUAGAUUAACAGAGGCUAAUACUGUGAUUGAUUGACAUUGGCAAUGGUUGGCAAAAAAAAAAAAAAAAA
rnacentral:lncRNA from 1 species